GAUGAACGCUGGCGGCGUGCCUAAUACAUGCAAGUCGAGCGAACGGACGAGAAGCUUGCUUCUCUGAUGUUAGCGGCGGACGGGUGAGUAACACGUGGAUAACCUACCUAUAAGACUGGGAUAACUUCGGGAAACCGGAGCUAAUACCGGAUAAUAUUUUGAACCGCAUGGUUCAAAAGUGAAAGACGGUCUUGCUGUCACUUAUAGAUGGAUCCGCGCUGCAUUAGCUAGUUGGUAAGGUAACGGCUUACCAAGGCAACGAUGCAUAGCCGACCUGAGAGGGUGAUCGGCCACACUGGAACUGAGGCACGGUCCAGACUCCUACGGGAGGCAGCAGUAGGGAAUCUUCCGCAAUGGGCGAAAGCCCGACGGAGCAACGCCGCGUGAGUGAUGAAGGUCUUCGGAUCGUAAAACUCUGUUAUUAGGGAAGAACAUAUGUGUAAGUAACUGUGCACAUCUUGACGGUACCUAAUCAGAAAGCCACGGCUAACUACGUGCCAGCAGCCGCGGUAAUACGUAGGUGGCAAGCGUUAUCCGGAAUUAUUGGGCGUAAAGCGCGCGUAGGCGGCUUUUUAAGUCUGAUGUGAAAGCCCACGGCUCAACCGUGGAGGGUCAUUGGAAACUGGAAAACUUGAGUGCAGAAGAGGAAAGUGGAAUUCCAUGUGUAGCGGUGAAAUGCGCAGAGAUAUGGAGGAACACCAGUGGCGAAGGCGACUUUCUGGUCUGUAACUGACGCUGAUGUGCGAAAGCGUGGGGAUCAAACAGGAUUAGAUACCCUGGUAGUCCACGCCGUAAACGAUGAGUGCUAAGUGUUAGGGGGUUUCCGCCCCUUAGUGCUGCAGCUAACGCAUUAAGCACUCCGCCUGGGGAGUACGACCGCAAGGUUGAAACUCAAAGGAAUUGACGGGGACCCGCACAAGCGGUGGAGCAUGUGGUUUAAUUCGAAGCAACGCGAAGAACCUUACCAAAUCUUGACAUCCUUUGACAACUCUAGAGAUAGAGCUUUCCCCUUCGGGGGACAAAGUGACAGGUGGUGCAUGGUUGUCGUCAGCUCGUGUCGUGAGAUGUUGGGUUAAGUCCCGCAACGAGCGCAACCCUUAAGCUUAGUUGCCAUCAUUAAGUUGGGCACUCUAAGUUGACUGCCGGUGACAAACCGGAGGAAGGUGGGGAUGACGUCAAAUCAUCAUGCCCCUUAUGAUUUGGGCUACACACGUGCUACAAUGGACAAUACAAAGGGCAGCGAAACCGUGAGGUCAAGCAAAUCCCAUAAAGUUGUUCUCAGUUCGGAUUGUAGUCUGCAACUCGACUACAUGAAGCUGGAAUCGCUAGUAAUCGUAGAUCAGCAUGCUACGGUGAAUACGUUCCCGGGUCU
rnacentral:rRNA from 1 species